rnacentral:rRNA from 1 species
ACGCUUCUUUUUCCACGCGGAGCUUGCUCCACCGGAAAAAGAAGGAGUGGCGAACGGGUGAGUAACACGUGGGUAACCUGCCCAUCAGAAGGGGAUAACACUUGGAAACAGGUGCUAAUACCGUAUAACAAUCGAAACCGCAUGGUUUUGAUUUGAAAGGCGCUUUCGGGUGUCGCUGAUGGAUGGACCCGCGGUGCAUUAGCUAGUUGGUGAGGUAACGGCUCACCAAGGCCACGAUGCAUAGCCGACCUGAGAGGGUGAUCGGCCACAUUGGGACUGAGACACGGCCCAAACUCCUACGGGAGGCAGCAGUAGGGAAUCUUCGGCAAUGGACGAAAGUCUGACCGAGCAACGCCGCGUGAGUGAAGAAGGUUUUCGGAUCGUAAAACUCUGUUGUUAGAGAAGAACAAGGAUGAGAGUAACUGUUCAUCCCUUGACGGUAUCUAACCAGAAAGCCACGGCUAACUACGUGCCAGCAGCCGCGGUAAUACGUAGGUGGCAAGCGUUGUCCGGAUUUAUUGGGCGUAAAGCGAGCGCAGGCGGUUUCUUAAGUCUGAUGUGAAAGCCCCCGGCUCAACCGGGGAGGGUCAUUGGAAACUGGGAGACUUGAGUGCAGAAGAGGAGAGUGGAAUUCCAUGUGUAGCGGUGAAAUGCGUAGAUAUAUGGAGGAACACCAGUGGCGAAGGCGGCUCUCUGGUCUGUAACUGACGCUGAGGCUCGAAAGCGUGGGGAGCAAACAGGAUUAGAUAC